rnacentral:misc_RNA from 1 species
UUGGUCAAGGGUGUCAGUCC